rnacentral:lncRNA from 1 species
CAGCUUCUUCCUCGGACCAGCCAUCAGCAUCAGAAAUAGAGAAAACCAGAGGGGACAACAGUCACGACCGUCAAACACGUUUUGUUGUUGUGGGCGGGGGGAUUUCUUAAAGGGCCAGUGAGGGACGAGGCGGAGAAGUAGGGGGUCUAGGGACCUCAUCUUCUACCUCUAAGUAUUCCAGAAUCAGGUUAAAAGUCAAGGCUGAGGGCAGGUGCGGUGCUGGGAACCGAGAGGAGCGUGGCGGGAAGAGCCCCGGGCCACAGCAUUCAGGGAUGUCCCAGGAAGGGGGGGCCCGGCUGCCUGUGCCAGGCAGGCGGGAGAUGCCAGCCUGCGCCCUCGGCAAGAUUCCUCAAGGAGUUAACUCCCGAACCAUGUGCUGCUGGGGGAAACUCCAAGCCUCCCUCUUCUCGAUUCCGGCCCCCUGCACAACCUCUCUCCUAUCCUUAGCUCUUCCCCGGCGGAUUUUAGGAGUCCCUUCUCCCCUGGGACCCUUCUCUUCCCUUUCCAAGUCCGCUCCUCCCAUUAUCCGGAAGCGAGGGGGGAUGACGCCCCCCCCUUGACCUCUUCCUCCAGGAGCCGGGACCAAAAUAACCGGGCGGGAGGGGACACCUCGCAGAGAUGGAUCUCGAACUCCUGGGCUCAAGCGAUCCUUUCACCUUGGCCUCUCAAGUAGCUGGGACCACAUUUGCUCACCAGCUGGCCCAAGACCAGACUGGGCAACAUGGGUCAUCCUCCUCUAAGAUUCCAGGACCAUGAUCAUCCCUCUAUUGCUACUUCUUAGAUCAGCUUGUAAUGUCCAUCUCCCCCACCAGACUGCGUCUCCAGCAUCUCUGAGUCCCCAGGGCCUGGCCUGGGGCUUGCUACAUGGUGGGUGCUCAGUAACUGUGAGGUAAAUAAAUGAAUGAAUUAACC